AAGCGAGCAAAGAAGUAGUAUUUGUGUUUCCAAGAGCAAAUAUAACUUCAUUGGAAGCUAAG
rnacentral:pre_miRNA from 1 species